rnacentral:rRNA from 1 species
UGGGGAAUAUUGCACAAUGGGCGCAAGCCUGAUGCAGCCAUGCCGCGUGUAUGAAGAAGGCCUUCGGGUUGUAAAGUACUUUCAGAGGGGCGGAAGGCGAUGUGGUUAAUAACCGCGUCGAUUGACGUUACCCGCAGAAGAAGCACCGGCUAACUCCGUGCCAGAAGCCGCGGUAAUACGGAGGGUGCAAGCGUUAAUCGGAAUUACUGGGCGUAAAGCGCACGCAGGCGGUCUGUCAAGUCGGAUGUGAAAUCCCCGGGCUCAACCUGGGAACUGCAUCCGAAACUGGCAGGCUUGAGUCUCGUAGAGGGGGGUAGAAUUCCAGGUGUAGCGGUGAAAUGCGUAGAGAUCUGGAGGAAUACCGGUGGCGAAGGCGGCCCCCUGGACGAAGACUGACGCUCAGGUGCGAAAGCGUGGGGAGCAAACA